rnacentral:antisense_RNA from 1 species
GAAAGUCGAGAUGGACCGUGUGGGACCCCUUCUCUCCCCGCCCCCAGGCCGCAGUUCGGGGGCCACGCCCCGGCGUUCUCGGGUCACCGCAGGAAGCCCUUGAACCCCCUGGCGCCCGGCACCCACAUGCGGUAACCGCGGCUCCUCGAGAGCUCCAGGGAUGCGGAUCUGCAGUAAGGGCUGUGGCCAGAUGAAUGAAUGCACAUUUUUUAGUGGGCAAAAAGAUGUUAGGAUUCAUGAAUUAGAAUAAGCACAAAGGAGGGCGAGAGGGGAGGCCGUGGAAGCCACAUUACUCCCCUUGCCUUGGGCGCCCACCCCCGAAGGGGCGCGUCCCCACCCUGCUCCACUGCACGUGGGUGUUUAACCAGGGGAUGUCCAGUGCCUCAAGCACCACGACCUGGGAGAAAACUGAGUUGAGAAGGGUCCAUUCAAGACUUGUGCCCACAAUAUACCAGGCACUUGUCCAGACCUACAUCACCCAAUGCCCACCUCGGCCUCUCAAAGGGUUGGGAUUACAGGCGUGAGCCACCGCGCCCUGCCUGCAUGUGGCUAUUGAGAUGUGCUGUAUGAUACACACCGGACUUUGAAGACUCAGUGUGAAAAAUAAAAAGAAUUUUAAGAGGGGUGGGGGUCGAGGGGAGGCAGAGCAGUAGGAGAAAUAGCUAAUGCAUGCAGGGCUUAAAACCUAGACAACAGGUUGAUGGGUGCAGCAAACCACCAUGACACGUUUAUCUAUAUAGCACCUACAUGUUCUGCACUUGUAUCCUGGAACUUAAAAUUAGAAAAAAAAUAAUAAUAAAAGCCAACAUGGCAUUCAUUACUGCCAAAAAAAAUUA